rnacentral:rRNA from 1 species
GAUGAACGCUGGCGGCGUGCCUAAUACAUGCGAGUCGAGCGAACAGACGAGGAGCUUGCUCCUCCGACGUUAGCGGCGGACGGGUGAGUAACACGUGGAUAACCUACCUAUAAUACUGGGAUAACUUCGGGAAACCGGAGCUAAUACCGGAUAAUAUAUUGAACCGCAUGGUUCAAUAGUGAAAGACGGUUUUGCUGUCACUUAUAGAUGGAUCCGCGCCGCAUUAGCUAGUUGGUAAGGUAACGGCUUACCAAGGCAACGAUGCGUAGCCGACCUGAGAGGGUGAUCAGCCACACUGGAACUGAGACACGGUCCAGACUCCUACGGGAGGCAGCAGUAGGGAAUCUUCCGCAAUGGGCGAAAGCCUGACGGAGCAACGCCGCGUGAGUGAUGAAGGUCUUCGGAUCGUAAAACUCUGUUAUUAGGGAAGAACAAAUGUGUAAGUAACUAUGCACGUCUUGACGGUACCUAAUCAGAAAGCCACGGCUAACUACGUG